ACGCUCGACACCUACGGGAGACAGCAGUGGGGAAUAUUGCACAAUGGGGGGAAACCCUGAUGCAGCGACGCCGCGUGAGCGAAGAAGUAUUUCGGUAUGUAAAGCUCUAUCAGCAGGGAAGAAAAUGACGGUACCUGACUAAGAAGCCCCGGCUAACUACGUGCCAGCAGCCGCGGUAAUCUGAGCGGGCUGGCAAGGC
rnacentral:rRNA from 1 species